AUGUGGGUGUUGCCAAACUCGAAAAUUCCUACUCUCUCCGAUUUUUUCCCCGUAAUAUUAUUCCCAACGAUGCUGAAGUCAUUGCCUCUUCCGCCCAUGUCUUUUUUCUUACCUCUCUCAUUCUUGGGUUGGAGAGUUUUGGUGCUCACUGAUGGGGAUUUCGAGCUGUUGCUGUUUUGUUGGUCGGUGUUCCCCUUAGAAGAAUCCUCAGAACCAUGUUUCUGA
rnacentral:lncRNA from 1 species